rnacentral:lncRNA from 1 species
GCCACUCCACCUUCCCCCAGUGUCCCCAGGAAGGCACUGGAGGGACCCUGGGGGAAACUGGGAGGUCUUGGGGGGUCUCUAAAGCCACUCCACCUGCCCCCAAUGUCCCAGGAAGGCACUGGAAGGACCCUGGAAGGCACUGGGAGGACCCUGGGAGGCACUGGGAGGACCCUGGGGGACACUGGGAGGACCGGGGGGACCACUUAACCCCCCCCCCACCUCCCCAGAAGAGGGGAGGACCCCCCCACACCCCCCCCCCGCCGCCUCUCACCGAUCUUCAUCUUCUUGAGGGUGGCGUCGGGCUCGUCGCGGGGCCGCUUGCGGGCGUCGCGGGGGCUGGGCAUGCUGCGGGCGAUCUCGGCCUGCUGGGUGCCCAGGUCGACGAGCAGCGUGGUGAUCUGCGCCUGGAAGUCCCCCGAGGCCGGGUGCCGCAGCACGCUCAGCAGGUGCAGCUUCAGGUUCUUGCGCACGCUGCUCACCUGCGACUUGGCCAGCGUGGGCGGCAGGUUGGCUGCGGGGGACACGGGGACGCGUCGGGGACGCCGGGGUUUUGGGAGAGCAGCCCCCGAUGGGAGGCGGUGUGGGGACAC